AUGAAAACAAGGGGACUAGCAUUUUCAUUGCAAUUCUAUGUAUUUCUCCUGUUGUCACUCCGGAUUAGCAGUUCAUAUCAAAUUCUUGAGUUUCUAUCAUUCUUCACCAUUUGCAGGACUACUAAAAUGAAAAACUUUGAAAACAACAUUGGAUCUCUGAAUGUGAAGCUUACAGAACAACAGUUGAAGGAAAUAUCUGAUGCAGUCCGUGUUGAGGAAAUUGCCGGUAAACGAGACUAUGGUAGUUUAUCACAAUAUAUGUGGGAGUUUUCAACUACACCACCACUAAAGUAA